rnacentral:rRNA from 1 species
AUGAUUAAAGAGGCGAAGCAUCUUGGCUUGGCCGGCAUGCCUUGCUUGGAUGGCGUCGAGGAAGCAGAAGCACAGUGUGCAUUGCUUGAUUUAAACUCAUUGUGCGAAGGCUGUUUUACAUCAGAUUCAGAUGCUUUUCUUUUUGGAUCAAGGACAGUUUACAGAGAAGUCUUCAUAGGGGACGGUGGUUAUGUCAUUUGCUACGAAAUGGAGGACAUAGAGAAGAAGCUUGGUUUUGGCAGGAAAUCACUGAAACAGUUCCUCGCGACCACAGUAAAAAUCAUGACGUGGCAUCGCUCCUUGCUCAACCCAGCGUUUCGCUCUUGA